AGACGAAUCUCCAUUACAGGUAAUUUUAAUGCCGAAGAAGACGAAACCGGAAGUAACGAACAGGUGUCGGUUAAUUAACCUGAUUUAUGUUAAGUUAGCAACGUAACUUCGGUCUCAAGUUAACGUUGUUUUUCCUAAAAUGAACUCGCGACUCUAUGAAGAGGAAAUAAAUAAAUGAAUGUAGAUAUCGAGAGUUAUGUCCAGGUGGAGAACAUGCUGAUGGAUCAGAACAACCAGAGCAGCCUCAGGACGACACCACAGACAUUAACCUGGACGAGAUGAUCUGAGCGGAAAGAUUCAGGUUGAGAAAUCCCUCCUGAGAAAAACUAAAUGUUAACCAGAAAUCCCGAUGAACAACACUAAACACAUAAAGAUAAACUGUACAGUGAAGAAGCACCUUAGAAAUCAGGUCCCUGCUCUUCUCCAGUGUAAAAGCUCCUCCUCAUAUUAGUACAUGUUUUCAUAUGAUGUCACUGUUUGUUCUCUAAGUAGCUGAGUUUUCAUUCAUCUUUCUGUAUUUUUUGUUGUUACCUCUGGAGGAAAUAAGGAUCUGCAGCAUAAAGUGAUAAACUCCAUUGUUUCACUUAGUUGAAUCUGAAAUAUUUUCUUAAUCAUAUUUUUCAUAAAUGUGAAAUUUUUCCUUGUUGAGUUCUUGAAGCAUUUGAUGCUGUAACUAAUUAGAUGGUGUGUGUGAACUCUUGUUCCUGCAGAGAAAAAGCUGCUGGAUGUGUUUCUGUGUUUAUGUUGCUUUAAAGUUAAUAAUGUUGAGAUUCAGGAAUCUGUCAAGUGAAGAAAAGAUUUAAUUCGUAGAUGAAAUUCUGAAAAUGUUUCUUCUGCUAAUGUGAAUUUAAAAGUUAAACUAAAGAUCUCCAGAUGAAUUCAAAGAGCUGUGGCUGUUAGAAGGUUCAGACAUUUGGAGGUGGAGGGUUAGUGGCUGUAAAAACACUGAGAGACUGUGUCUUCAGUCUUCAGCUGCUUCACUGGUCCAACACUCAAAGCUUCUCCAGAGUCCAGAGGAGAGUCUGAGGUUGAGAGUCUUCAGGUUGAGGGAGUCACUGACUGAACGGCUCAGUGAGUCGGGAGUUGAAUCAAGAGCUGAACGACUCCUUGGAGGGGCGGAGUCUGUGGGAGGCGGAGCCAACUUUUUUAUUUUUUCUAAAAUCUGAAAAAAAUCCCCAAAAGGAAACAGACCAGCACCUCGGCAGAAGAAGUGGCAUGAUCUAUAUCUGAAGCCUUCCACUUCGCUCCCUGUCUCAGUGCAUCCAGGAACCUCAUGUACAGCAGCCAAGCAGCCAGGGCCUUCACCUGCUGAGACGCUAAAGCCAGGACUCUACCUGCAGGUUCACCACCAAAGGAUGUCUCCUCAGCUAGUGGUGAACCUUGGCAUCAACCUCUGAUGUAUCCAGCCCCAUCACAAGCCCCACGAAAAGAAAAGUGUCACCACCUGGACACACACUGUUUCUCCUGUGUCUCUUCCUCCUUCUCCUGUUCCUGUAUCAAGCUUCUUCCAUUCUGCCUCCACUGCUACAGCUGAACCCCCUCUGCUCCUCUCACCUUGCCAUUGCCUAAAAAUGUGGGGAUCGCACCUGUUUCAGCCCACAAAGCUGCUGAAGACCAUACAUUUCAGCAGCCCUGUGGAAAGACCAGCGUCUUUUCAAAGACCUGAAACUGUGGUAUGAUCCACCAGAGUCAUCCCUCAUAUACCAUCAGGUCCUCACUCCUGAGCGCUUCUUCCACCACUAUUUGUUACAUUUCAGUGACUGUCUUAAUUUCUUUCUGCAAAAAUGCAAACUCACUUAUAGAAAACGAUAAAAUUGUUGCAGUACUUCAUUCAGAAAUAUUAAAAUGACUAUAAAAGUUUA